GACAGAGGGGGCAAGCGUUGCUCGGAAUUACUGGGCGUAAAGGGCGCGUAGGCGGCCAUGCGUGUCUUCCGUGAAAUCCCUCGGCUUAACUGAGGACGUGCGGAAGAAACUGCAAGGCUUGAGUCCGGGAGAGGGGGGUGGAAUUCCCAGUGUAGCGGUGAAAUGCGUAGAUAUUGGGAGGAACACCGGUGGCGAAGGCGGCCCCCUGGACCGGUACUGACGCUGAGGCGCGAAAGCGUGGGUAGCAAACGGG
rnacentral:rRNA from 1 species